AGCUGACUCCCGCAGAACAGCGUUAUGCCACCAUAAAUAGGGAAGCAUUGACAGUCAAGUGGGGAGUCCUGGAGCUCCGUUAUUACCUCCUCGGCUGCCACCCUCCUCACGGACCACGCUCCCCUGCAGUGGAUGGCCCAGGCGAAGGAGACCAACGCCAAGGUGACGCGGUGGUUCUUGGCGCUCCAGGACUUUAACUUCACCAUACAACAUCGGACGGGGACGGCCAACGCCGACGGACUCUCCCACCUGUGGUCAGCUCUCGCAGGUCUGUCAGGCUCCACUUCCCCGCCCUCCCCCGAUCUCCCCGCUGCUCCAGAGGUAUAGGAUGAUGCUUAGGUGGGGGGAGUGUGACACGUGUCCUGAGCGCUCAUCAGCGUCGCCCUGACAACGCUGCAGACACACCUGCGCCUACUCAUCACGGGCUGAGCGUCCACACCUGCAUGUCAUCAGCCGCUGCAGAUAUAAACCCCGCAAGCGGGCACUGAGGUGAGAGAUGUCUCCACGAGAUUCGGCUAACGUUGUCUUUUCCUCUGCCCCUAGAAAGCAGCGUGAGCGCCAGCCCCAACGCCACAGGAGAGCACGGACCCACACUGCACUAGAGCACGUUCAAGACAAGACGCCGAGUACCAAACACCCCAAACCACCUCACAGCAUUGCCCGUCCUUUCACGGAUUCCCUAAAUAAAAUCCACCUUUCGGGGAACUUACCCUCAUCCUUGUGUCGUGUCCUACUUCACCCCGCCACAAUAUACAGAUGGCAGUAGGUUGACUUUUUUGAUAUUCUGUAUCUGGAUUGAUCUUGACAUGACUGUCUGAUUUGAAUACCUGCAAAAAACUGCAGUUGCCAGCUCUUCUAAAAUCUAUGAUUGUACGACCAGUUUUUGUGUUUCUUGUAUAUCUUCUAACAUUUAAACUUGCUAUCUGUUGUA